CGCUGGCGGCAGGCCUAACACAUGCAAGUCGAACGGUAACAUUUCUAGCUUGCUAGAAGAUGACGAGUGGCGGACGGGUGAGUAAUGCUUGGGAACUUGCCUUUGCGAGGGGGAUAACAGUUGGAAACGACUGCUAAUACCGCAUAAUGUCUUCGGACCAAACGGGGCUUAGGCUCUGGGGCAAAGAGAGGCCCAAGUGAGAUUAGCUAGUUGGUAAGGUAAAGGCUUACCAAGGCGACGAUCUCUAGCUGUUCUGAGAGGAAGAUCAGCCACACUGGGACUGAGACACGGCCCAGACUCCUACGGGAGGCAGCAGUGGGGAAUAUUGCACAAUGGGGGAAACCCUGAUGCAGCCAUGCCGCGUGUGUGAAGAAGGCCUUCGGGUUGUAAAGCACUUUCAGUUGUGAGGAAAAGUUAGUAGUUAAUACCUGCUAGCCGUGACGUUAACAACAGAAGAAGCACCGG
rnacentral:rRNA from 1 species